rnacentral:lncRNA from 1 species
UCUUGCCAUUCGUCAUAAUAGAACUGUGAGCUCAUAGGGCGCUGGGUUCCUACCCUACUGAUCGCUGUUCUAGCACUCAUCACAAAGCCUGGCACCAAGCCUGAGACCCAAGAGUGCUGAAUGGAUGAAAGGGCAGAAACUCUUCAGGACCCUGGACAGUUCCGGGAAGCCUUUGCUGAGGCCUCCGAGGCCAUGUUAAGCAAUAGCUCAAAAUCAUGGCUGCAAGGAGACCUUGGUGCAGAUGAGGCUCCCUACCUCAUAGUCUCAUAGUUUCUCAACCUGUCUGCAUCAGAAGAACCACCUCACCUUCUUGACUAUGUUUCCAGUAAGCUCAGCUGCACCCGAAGCCCCAUGAAGGUCAAGAGCCUACCUGCUGUGAUCACCAUAGUAUCCUUGCCACCCAACCAAAUACUUAGGACCUACAUAAAGGGGCGCUAUUGGCUUUAACAGCAGUUCUCAAAGUGUGGUCCCUGAACUGGAGGUAUCGGCACCCCCUGGAGACUUGUUAGAAAGCAGAUGCUCUGAUCCCUGCCCAGACCUGCAGGGUCAGAAACAGGGGUGGGGCCCGGGGACCUGAGCUCUAAGCAGCACUUGGGUUGAUCCUGAUGCACUUCAGCCGGUGACCAUGAGGCACUCACGGUCCUAGGAACAGGGCAGCCAGGACUUUCUCAAGAUUAGGAAGUUCCUUGAUAAAAUGGACUUGAAUGUGCUUUAGUCAUUUCCCUCAUUUCUGGGACACUCACAACUUAAGGAGAGGGUUAUUUCAGCUCAUGCCUUAGUCCUAGUACCCUGGCUCCAAGGCAGAAUGCAUGGCAGAAGGGCCUGGUGGUGGAAAAGCUUUGUACCUCCCCAAAGCCCCCUCUAUGAAUGCAUGAGGCUACAGGGAUGGGGGGCAUCUAGAGAAACUGUAAGAAAUACGAGUGAUCAGAGAACCACAGGCACCUGAUUGUGCAGGUGCAUUUUCUGGCUUGGACGUAGCACUUAUAAAUUUCGACAUGACUAUGGCAGAAGGCAUCUGAGUCUGGCAAGGUUAGCUGUUUCUAUGUUCCCACUCAUCUCUAAGACUCCUAGAGACACCUCAAUUUUGCCUGCUG